UACGGGAGGCAGCAGUGGGGGAAUAUUGCACAAUGGGCGCAAGCCUGAUGCAGCCAUGCCGCGUGUAUGAAGAAGGCCUUCGGGUUGUAAAGUACUUUCAGUCGUGAGGAAGGUGUUAAGGUUAAUAACCUUAGCAAUUGACGUUAGCGACAGAAGAAGCACCGGCUAACUCCGUGCCAGCAGCCGCGGUAAUACGGAGGGUGCGAGCGUUAAUCGGAAUUACUGGGCGUAAAGGGCACGCAGGCGGUUAAUUAAGUUGGAUGUGAAAUCCCCGGGCUUAACCUGGGAAUGGCAUUCAAGACUGGUUAGCUAGAGUCUUGUAGAGGGGGUAGAAUUCCAUGUGUAGCGGUGAAAUGCGUAGAGAUGUGGAGGAAUACCGGUGGCGAAGGCGGCCCCGUGGACAAGACUGACGCUCAUGUGCGAAAGCGUGGGGAGCGAAACAGGGAU
rnacentral:rRNA from 1 species